AUCAAUAGGCAGGAAUUAGAACUCUUC
rnacentral:piRNA from 1 species